rnacentral:lncRNA from 1 species
UAAAAAGAUAUGUUUACUUAGAGAGAGAGAAUACUGAGAGAGAGUCAACCGAUCUCAACCUUUUCUCUGUGCCUUUUUCGUCGUAUGUAUAUGUGGUUUUCGAAGACUCCACAUAGUAUUGCGGGUAUUAUCUUCGUUCUCUCUUUCUUUCAUUCACAGUUUAUCUCUCUCUCUCUACUUUUCUCUUGUCUGAGCAGAAACAAACACUUUUAAGCCUUUUUUCUCUCUACUUAUUCCGCUUUUUGUUGGAGCUUUUUGCAAGUCAAGCAUGCAGAUAGCGAGAUAAGUCUUAAGAGCGGAGAGAGAAGAAGCCCUCAAAAUUAGGGUUUUCUUGAAGCAUUUUUGCUCUCUUUUUCCCUCAUCUUCACAUUGAAUCCGAGAGAGUGAGAGAUUUUUUAGAGAGAGGGAUAGAGAAGGAAGUGUUAAGCAGCAAAAUUAAGGGUCUGUUUUUGCUUGACUUCUUUCUCUUUCUUUCUCUCACUAAAGCAUGUAGAGAGGCACUCGAGACAUUUUGAUUUAAGCAUUGUGUCUCCUCUACCUCCCUGUUACCCGUUUAUAGCUUUUUCUUGAACAUAAUCGCUUAUUUUGCUCGAUUUUCACUUAUUAUCGUCUUCAAGUUCAGUCCAUGAUACAGCAAGUUUUCAUUUUUUUUUAUUUUGUAACGUAAAAAUGGAGUGAUUCUCUCAUGAAUGCAUUUGUUACACACANNN